ACGGCGAGUGAAGCGGCAACAGCUCAAAUUUGAAAUCUGGCCCCCGACCGGGGUCCGAGUUGUAAUUUGUAGAGGAUGCUUCGGGCAAGGCUGCGGCCUAAUUCGCUUGGAACAGCGAGUCACAGAGGGUGAGAAUCCCGUCCAGGGUCGCGCGCCGCGCCCGUGUGAAGCUCCUUCGACGAGUCGAGUUGUUUGGGAAUGCAGCUCUAAAUGGGUGGUAAAUUUCAUCUAAAGCUAAAUAUGGGCCAGAGACCGAUAGCGCACAAGUAGAGUGAUCGAAAGAUGAAAAGCACUUUGAAAAGAGAGUUAAACAGUAUGUGAAAUUGUUGAAAGGGAAGCGCUGGCAACCAGACUUGCGCGGGACGGUUCCCCCGAUCGUCUGAUCGGGCUACUCCGUCCCGGACAGGCCAGCAUCGGUUCGGGUGGUCGGUGAAAGGCCCCGGGAAUGUAUCUACCUUCGGGUCGACUUAUAGCCCGGGGUGCAACGCGGCCCACCCGGACCGAGGAACGCGCUCCGGCACGGAUGCUGGCGUAAUGGUUGUCAGCGGCCCGUCUUGAAACACGGACCAAGGAGUCUAACAUCUGUGCGAGUGUUUGGGUGUCAAACCCCGACGCGGAAUGAAAGUGAACGGUGGUAAGAACCCCGCCCGGGGCGCAUUAUCGACCGAUCCUGAUGUCUUCGGAUGGAUUUGAGUAAGAGCAUGGCUGUUGGGACCCGAAAGGUACGUCUCUUGCUCUGUUCCCUUUUUUAAUGUUUUUUUGAGGUAUGUGUGCUAACUUGUGCCCGUCGACAGAUGGUGAACUAUGCCUGGAUAGGGUGAAGCCAGAGGAAACUCUGGUGGAGGCUCGCAGCGGUUCUGACGUGCAAAUCGAUCGUCAAAUCUGGGUAUAGGGGCGAAAGACCAAUCGAACCAUCUGGUAGCUGGUUCCUGCCGAAGUUUCCCUCAGGAUAGCAGUAACGUGUUCAGUUUUAUGAGGUAAAGCGAAUGAUUAGAGGCCUUGGGGUUGAAACAACCUUAACCUAUUCUCAAACUUUAAAUAUGUAAGAAGUCCUUGUUGCUUCGUUGAACGUGGACACUCGAAUGGAUCGUUACUAGUGGGCCAUUUUUGGUAAGCAGAACUGGCGAUGCGGGAUGAACCGAACGUGAGGUUAAGGUGCCGGAAUGCACGCUCAUCAGACACCACAAAAGGUGUCAAUGCAUCCAGACAGCCGGACGGUGGCCAUGGAAGUCGGAAUCCGCUUAGGAGUGUGUAACAACUCACCGGCCGAAUGCAUUGGCCCUGAAAAUGGAUGGCGCUUAAGCGUGCUACCUAUACCUCGCCGUUGGGGUUGAAGUGAGGCCCCAACGAGUAGGCAGGCGUGGGGGUCCGUGACGAAGCCUCGGGGGUGACCCCGGGUCGA
rnacentral:rRNA from 1 species